UACGAAGGGGGCUAGCGUUGCUCGGAAUCACUGGGCGUAAAGCGCACGUAGGCGGCUUCUUAAGUCAGGGGUGAAAUCCUGGAGCUCAACUCCAGAACUGCCUUUGAUACUGAGAAGCUUGAGUUCGGGAGAGGUGAGUGGAACUGCGAGUGUAGAGGUGAAAUUCGUAGAUAUUCGCAAGAACACCAGUGGCGAAGGCGGCUCACUGGCCCGAUACUGACGCUGAGGCACGAAAGCGUGGGGAGCAAACAGGG
rnacentral:rRNA from 1 species